GUAGGUGAACCUGCGGAGGGAUCAUUACAGAGUAUAUGCCCUUUGGGGUAGAUCUCCCACCCGUGUCGAUUCUACCUUUGUUGCUUUGGCAGGCUACGGCCUGCCAGAGGCCCUCAACUCUGAAUUUAGUGUUGUCUAAGUCCACAUAAAUCGUUAAAACUUUCAACAACGGAUCUCUUGGUUCUG
rnacentral:misc_RNA from 1 species